rnacentral:rRNA from 1 species
UUGAACGCUGGCGGCAGGCCUAACACAUGCAAGUCGAAUGGUAACAGGAAACAGCUUGCUGUUUCGCUGACGAGUGGCGGACGGGUGAGUAAUGUCUGGGAAACUGCCUGAUGGAGGGGGAUAACUACUGGAAACGGUAGCUAAUACCGCAUAACGUCGCAAGACCAAAGAGGGGGACCUUCGGGCCUCUUGCCAUCAGAUGUGCCCAGAUGGGAUUAGCUAGUAGGUGGGGUAACGGCUCACCUAGGCGACGAUCCCUAGCUGGUCUGAGAGGAUGACCAGCCACACUGGAACUGAGACACGGUCCAGACUCCUACGGGAGGCAGCAGUGGGGAAUAUUGCACAAUGGGCGCAAGCCUGAUGCAGCCAUGCCGCGUGGAUGAAGAAGGCCUUCGGGUUGUAAAGUACUUUCAGCGGGGAGGAAGGGAGUAAAGUUAAUACCUUUGCUCAUUGACGUUACCCGCAGAAGAAGCACCGGCUAACUCCGU